GUUUCCGGUAUUACAUCCACUUAUCCAGCUGGUUUCAGCGACGCCCUCCAAGAAGCAAGCGAGAAGAGCCACAGCAGUACUCAAUGAUGUUCUUGGACCUGGAGGCAUACAGAACAGAGGGUACUUUCUUUAUCGGCCGAGAAAUGGAAGAAGAUCCGCUGAAUACGUGUAAAGAUACAGAACACAGUUACCGCCAGUUGGACCUGCCGCUGCACAGAACCGACCCCGAGCGCCUGAGGGUGUGAUG